rnacentral:rRNA from 1 species
AUGAACGCUAGCGGCAGGCCUAACACAUGCAAGUCGAGGGGUAGAAGGAGCUUGCUCCUUUGAGACCGGCGCACGGGUGCGUAACGCGUAUGCAAUCUACCUUGUACAGGGGAAUAGCCCAGAGAAAUUUGGAUUAAUGCCCCAUAGUAUAUAACCUUCGCAUGUUGGUUAUAUUAAAGUUCCAACGGUACAAGAUGAGCAUGCGUCCCAUUAGUUAGUUGGUAAGGUAACGGCUUACCAAGACGAUGAUGGGUAGGGGUCCUGAGAGGGAGAUCCCCCACACUGGUACUGAGACACGGACCAGACUCCUACGGGAGGCAGCAGUGAGGAAUAUUGGUCGAUGGUCGCAAGACUGAACCAGCCAUGCCGCGUGCAGGAAGACGGUCCUAUGGAUUGUAAACUGCUUUUAUACAGGAAGAAACCCUCCCACGUGUGGGAGCUUGACGGUACUGUAGGAAUAAGGAUCGGCUAACUCCGUG